rnacentral:rRNA from 1 species
UACGUAGGCAGCAAGCGUUGUUCGGAGUUACUGGGCGUAAAGAGUGCGUAGGCGGUCCUGUAAGUUUGGUGUGAAAUCUCCCGGCUCAACUGGGAGGGUGCGCCGAAGACUGCAGGGCUUGAGUAUGGGAGAGGUAAGCGGAAUUCCUGGUGUAGCGGUGAAAUGCGUAGAUAUCAGGAGGAACACCGGUGGCGAAGGCGGGUCUCUGGGCAGUAACUGACGCUGAGGAGCGAAAGCAUGGGGAGCGAACAGG